rnacentral:lncRNA from 12 species
UAAACAUUGCACAACCACGAGCCCCCGCUGUCUGAGGGCAGCAGAGGCACCACUGGGCUCCUCCUCUUUGGAUUUUCUUCCUGGGGGAGGGCAGCACUUUGUGGAGCCAUGGCAGCAACCCCCGGAGCUGCCGGUGAGCCCGCGGCACGCUCUGAGUUACGCUCACAUUGCUGAGAGGAUGGGUCACAUUUUUGGGAAUCCGCCCUGACCUCCUCUGGUGAUGCUCUGGCUUCCUGAGGAUGGAGACAUGGAACAAAUUCUUGCCCAGACUUGAGGAACUUUGCGACACCGGGUGGUGAAAAAGCUGCUGGAUCCUUGCAGACGGGGCCUUGCCUGGUGGACACCCCUGCAGGAGGUGGGAUGGGGACAAUGCUGGGAGCAAUCCUGGGGGAAAUGGGGCACAGAGCUGGAGCAGAAAGCACUCUGGACCUCUCCAUCACUUCUGAGCUCUGCCUCAUGGGGACAGCAGGACCAUCUCCAGCACAAAUCCCUGCUGUGCUCCCUGCCUCGGGGGCAACAGGGUGGAUUUCUUUGUGCCGGCCGCGGGACACGGACCUGCCCAAACACGCAGCGCAUGAAAGCGGCUCCUGCCCGCGGCAGGAUCGGGUUGCAAAGGCACCGAGCCCUGCACCUGCCCGGAGUCCAGCAGGGAUGGGAGCGGGCAAAACCCAGCGGAUCAGGGCCAGGAGAAGCUGGUUUUUACCCCCAUCCUCACCACGUGUUCGAGUUUGCGGGCUGAGCACCCAAGAUGGCAAGCGCCAAUAAAGAAAACAGCAUCGUUAUCACCCAAAUUCCCAUUAAAAGUGCGGUUUGGUCUCUGUUUGGGAGGGGUGGGAGUUACCAGCUCCUAAUUCCAAUUUCACAGUGCCAGCAGCUCCUUUCACUUUGGGACCUUAUUCUUUGCCAUUUUUUUGGUGAGGGCAGCCCAAAUACACCCAGAGGUGUCACGUGAGAGCAAGCUUAUUCCAAUUAUGAGAGAACACAAGGAAUUUGCUCCUUGAAAAUAUUCAGAUGAAUUUGUUGAUAUAUUCUGAAUGGGUUUAUAGAGCAUUUUUAGUGAUAAGGCACCCCCCCCAGCCCUGCCGGCUGAAUUCUUUGUGAGCAGGUGUUCAUUUUGCCAAUUGUUCAAGUAAAAUAGCUGUUUCUGUCCUCCUUAAGUCCUUUUUUUCUCUGUUUGUGACUGGGGACAAUUUGGGAAAGAUUGCCAC